rnacentral:rRNA from 1 species
AUUGAACGCUGGCGGCAUGCCUUACACAUGCAAGUCGAACGGCAGCACGGGAGCAAUCCUGGUGGCGAGUGGCGAACGGGUGAGUAAUGUAUCGGAACGUACCUUUCAGUGGGGGAUAACGUAGCGAAAGUUACGCUAAUACCGCAUAUUCUGUGAGCAGGAAAGCAGGGGAUCGCAAGACCUUGCGCUGAUUGAGCGGCCGAUAUCAGAUUAGCUAGUUGGUGAGGUAAAGGCUCACCAAGGCGACGAUCUGUAGCGGGUCUGAGAGGAUGAUCCUCCACACUGGAACUGAGACACGGUCCAGACUCCUACGGGAGGCAGCAGUGGGGAAUUUUGGACAAUGGGCGCAAGCCUGAUCCAGCCAUGCCGCGUGAGUGAAGAAGGCCUCGGUUGUAAG